rnacentral:rRNA from 1 species
UACGUAGGGUGCGAGCGUUGUCCGGAAUUAUUGGGCGUAAAGAGCUCGUAGGCGGUUUGUCACGUCUGCUGUGAAAACUGGAGGCUCAACCUCCAGCUUGCAGUGGGUACGGGCAGACUAGAGUGCGGUAGGGGAGAUUGGAAUUCCUGGUGUAGCGGUGGAAUGCGCAGAUAUCAGGAGGAACACCGAUGGCGAAGGCAGAUCUCUGGGCCGUAACUGACGCUGAGGAGCGAAAGCGUGGGGAGCGAACAGG